AGAGAUCUGGAGGAAUACCGGUGGCGAAGGCGGCCCCCUGGACGAAGACUGACGCUCAGGUGCGAAAGCGUGGGGAGCAAACAGGAUUAGAUACCCUGGUAGUCCACGCCGUAAACGAUGUCGACUUGGAGGUUGUGCCCUUGAGGCGUGGCUUCCGGAGCUAACGCGUUAAGUCGACCGCCUGGGGAGUACGGCCGCAAGGUUAAAACUCAAAUGAAUUGACGGGGGCCCGCACAAGCGGUGGAGCAUGUGGUUUAAUUCGAUGCAACGC
rnacentral:rRNA from 1 species